UCAGCGUGCUUUUAACCUUUGUGGUUCGGGAUUCAUUUUACUUUCAACGAAAAUUUUCCCUCCUUUUUCCUGCAUUUUAAUUUCACUUUGUUUACUUUCGUGAAACUCAUUGCGCCCAAAUUUCAAUUCGUGCUCCCCCAAAUUUCAAUUCGCCAUUCCAUCAACAAGAGCAGUUCAUCCACUCUAUCAUGCGCCAUGUUGCUGAAACCCUAAACAUCGAUUUAGAGGAGCUCUAUGUUUACAUUGGAGCUCUAUUGUUUCUUUUGUUUCCAAUCCUCGCACGCCUCCGAAAAACGCUUCUAUGUUUACGUUCGGGAUGGAAGAAGUACGGUGGACGAACUCAAGUAGCCAAGCUAAAGUGUUAGGAACAAUAACAUCAAUUGCAGGAGCAUUUGUUGUGAUACUAUACAAGGGUCCACUCAUCUUUAAGACCCAUUCGACUAACUUUUCUAACCAAAUCCUUCAAUUUUUAACACAGCUAAAUUGGAUCUUAGGAGGGAUAUUAUGCAUUGAAGAUUCACUUUUUACUUUAAUGUAGUACAUAUAUCAGGCUUCGGUGGCAAAGAAAUACCCUGCUAUAACAGUGAUUGUAUUCUUCCAACUCUUAUCUUCAACCAUGCAGUGUGGAGUAUUUGCCUUAAUUGUUGUGAGGGAUCCAACUAAAUGGAAGCUCAACUUGGAUAUAGGGCUGAUUGGCGUCUCAUUCAGGUGGAAAAUGAAAACCAACCACAUGAAACUGAAACACUGAAAUACAUUUAGAUUUGUGUUUUUGCUUUAACUUUUAUAAAUGUUUAAGGUUGGUAUGAAAAAUAUUUGUUAUAGAAAGUUUAAGGUAUGCUUAAUAUUGUGGAUAGGCAAUAGUUGCAACAAUGAUAUGUUACCUACUAUGCACAUGGUUAUAUUUUAAUAGAUACUUAUUUUUUAGAAUUUUUUUCAUUUAGAUUUAUUUUUUUCAUUUUGCUUCAUUAAUUAGUAAAUACUUUAAUCUCUAAAAACACCUUUACACUUUUGAUUGGUAAAUUUUACAUGACUACUAUUUUGGUGUGUAUGAAUUUUAUUUUGUUAACUAAUAUUCAACAGACAGAAAUGAAACACCGAUUUGGUGAAUCUUGUAUAGGUAUAUUUUUAUUAUUAUUAUUAUUAAGAUAUUAACAAAUUUUAAUUAUUAUUAUCUCUUGUACUUUUUGUGAGAUAUGUACGUCAAGUUUAUCACUUCAUCCAUGGAGAACGAAACCAAGUUCAACUAUUUUCCUCUGUUUCGUUCUAUGUUCAAACUUGUGGCAAUCAUUUUCACCGCUUUCAAGGGUGCAAUCUUUCUUGGAGAUUAUUUCAGUCUUGGAAGAUCUUUUCUUGGCUGAUAUCUUAACUUCCAUGGCAAUGUAUUUUUCUUGGUGGACAUCUCAACAAUAUCGUGAUAAUCAAAUCACUGAAGUUAGGGGGGAAGAUUGAUGUUUAUAUGUUAUUAGUAUAUGUUUAUAAGUUAUGUUAUAGUGAUGUACAUGUUUAAAGGUACAUAUAGGUUAUAUAUGUUAUGAUUGUAUAUAUUGUCUUGUAUAAUGUCAUGUCAUGACACAUAUUGGAUGACUUAAUGAUUAUAUUUUGAAAUAUUAUUGUACCAACAGUUUUCAUUCA